GAUGAACGCUAGCGGCGGGCUUAAUACAUGCAAGUUGAACGCUCAGUAGCAAUACUGGGAGUGGCGCACGGGUGCGUAACACGUACACAACCUACCUUUAAGCGGGGGAUACCUCCGGGAAACUGGGAUUAAUACCCCAUAGUAUUAGGAAGUUGCAUGACUUUUUAAUUUAAAACUAACGGUGCUUAAAGAUGGGUGUGCGUCCCAUUAGGUAGUUGGAGUGGUAACGGCACACCAAGCCUACGAUGGGUAGCCGGUCUGAGAGGAUGGACGGCCACACGGGCACUGAGACACGGGCCCGACUCCUACGGGAGGCAGCAGUAAGGAAUAUUGGUCAAUGGUGGGAACACUGAACCAGCCACGCCGCGUGCAGGAAGAAGGUCCUAUGGAUUGUAAACUGCUUUUGCUAAGGAAGAAAUGUUUGUUAUUUAACAGAUUUGACGGUACUUAGAGAAUAAGCACCGGCUAACUCCGUGCCAGCAGCCGCGGUAAUGUCGUCAUGUCUUAGACUGCCAAGG
rnacentral:rRNA from 1 species